rnacentral:lncRNA from 10 species
CACACUCCCCUAACACACACGCAUUACACACUCCCCUCACGUACAUCCACACUCCCCUCACACACACUACACACACAUUACAUACACUCCCCCCACACACUCCCCUCACAUACAUUCACACUCCCCUCAUACACACACAUUACACACUCCCCCACACAGACCCACACACCCACACUCCCCUCACAUACAUCCACACUCCCCUCACACACACCACACACACAUUACAUACACUCCCCCACACACACAGACCCACACACCCACACUCCCCUCACAUACAUCCACACUCCCCUCACACACACGCAUUACACACUCCCUUCACGUACAUCCACACUCCCCUCACACACACCACACACACACAUUACAUACACUCCCCCCACACACACUCCCCUCACAUACAUCCACACUCCCCUCAAACACACCACACACAAUUACACACUCCCCUCACACACAUCCACACUCCCCUCACACACACACAUUACACACUCCCCCACACAGACCCACACACCCACACUCCCCUCACAUACAUCCACACUCCCCUCACACACACCACACACACAUUACAUACACUCCCCCCACACACAGACCCACACACCCACACUCCCCUCACAUACAUCCACACUCCCCUCACACACACAAUUACACACUCCCCCACACACACAGACCCACACACCCCUCACAUACAUCCACGCUCCCUUAACACACACACACUACAUACACUCCCCCUACAUACACUCCCCUCACACACCCACAGUCCCCUCACAUACAUCCACACUCCCCUCACACAUACACACAUUACACACACUGCGCUCACACAUAUCCACACUCCCCUCACACACACCACACACAUUACAUACACUCUCCCUACACACACUCCCCUCACACACACCACACACAUAUUACACACACUUUCCUCACAUACACACUCCCCUUACACACUACACACACACACUUCCCCUACACACACCCCCACACUACACACACUCCCCUCACAUAUACAUACACUACACACUCCCCUCAGGCACACACACUACACACCACCCACACUCCCACACACACUACACACCACCCACACUCCCACACACACACCUAUCACCCACACUCCCUCCCACACACACACCACACACUCCCUUCACACACUACACACUCCCCUCACACAUUCCACACACACACCCCACACAUUACACACACUCGCCUCAUGCACACACCCCACACACUACACAUAGUCCCCUCAUACACUACACACCACACUCCUUGACACACACACACUCUCCCUACACACACAUCCACACACCCAUACCCCUCAGCACACACACACGCCCCCAUACACCUACAUACACCACACACAUUCAUUCACCACACAUACACACUCACCCCACACCCCAUACAUACAUACACACACACACACACACAAGCUGUAAAGCAGUGGGACUUUCACAUGUGAGAUGCCCACAUAAGUGCCCCUGAGAGGCAGCUGCAUCUCAACACCGCGGACCCUAAUGACCUGGCUCCCUCCC